ACUAUACGGUUGUGUCUGUCGGACCAGGUUAUUUAUCAUGUGAUGGAUGAGAAUUCGCCGAAGAAGAUCUGGGAGAAACUGGAAAGUCAGUUUAUGUCCAAGACUACGACGACCAAGGUGUAUCUGAAGCAAAAGUUGUAUGGGAUGAGGAUGUAGGAGGGGUCAGAUCUUGUGGAGUAUAUGAACGCCUUUAAUCAAGUCGUGACGGAUCUAGCACGCUUGGGUGCAACGGUUGACGACGAGGAUAGGGCAAUUCUGCUUCUUUGUUCGUUGCCAUUAUCCUAUGACCAUUUGAUCACCACUUUGACGCACGGCAAGGAGACCGUCAAGAAUGAGGAUAUUACUGCGGCAUUGCUAUCUUAUGAUAUGAGAAAGAAGAACGCGGUGGAAGUCUCUCAUGGUGAAGGUUUGCUAGUCAAGGGUGAGCAGUGGCGGAAGGGAUAUGAGGCUGGGAAGAACAAGAAAAAGAAAAAGAAUAUAUAG
rnacentral:rRNA from 1 species